rnacentral:rRNA from 2 species
AUGGCUCAGAUUGAACGCUGGCGGCAGGCCUAACACAUGCAAGUCGAGCGGCAGCACGGGUACUUGUACCUGGUGGCGAGCGGCGGACGGGUGAGUAAUGCCUAGGAAUCUGCCUGGUAGUGGGGGAUAACGUUCGGAAACGAACGCUAAUACCGCAUACGUCCUACGGGAGAAAGCAGGGGACCUUCGGGCCUUGCGCUAUCAGAUGAGCCUAGGUCGGAUUAGCUAGUUGGUGAGGUAAUGGCUCACCAAGGCGACGAUCCGUAACUGGUCUGAGAGGAUGAUCAGUCACACUGGAACUGAGACACGGUCCAGACUCCUACGGGAGGCAGCAGUGGGGAAUAUUGGACAAUGGGCGAAAGCCUGAUCCAGCCAUGCCGCGUGUGUGAAGAAGGUCUUCGGAUUGUAAAGCACUUUAAGUUGGGAGGAAGGGCAGUUACCUAAUACGUAAUUGUUUUGACGUUACCGACAGAAUAAGCACCGGCUAACUCUGUGCCAGCAGCCGCGGUAAUACAGAGGGUGCAAGCGUUAAUCGGAAUUACUGGGCGUAAAGCGCGCGUAGGUGGUUCGUUAAGUUGGAUGUGAAAUCCCCGGGCUCAACCUGGGAACUGCAUUCAAAACUGUCGAGCUAGAGUAUGGUAGAGGGUGGUGGAAUUUCCUGUGUAGCGGUGAAAUGCGUAGAUAUAGGAAGGAACACCAGUGGCGAAGGCGACCACCUGGACUGAUACUGACACUGAG